rnacentral:rRNA from 1 species
UACGGGGGGAGCAAGCGUUGUUCGGAUUUACUGGGCGUAAAGGGCGCGUAGGCGGCCAGCACAAGUCAGUUGUGAAAUCUCCGAGCUUAACUCGGAACGGUCAAGUGAUACUGUCGGACUAGAGUACAGAAGGGGCAACUGGAAUUCUCGGUGUAGCGGUGAAAUGCGUAGCUAUCGAGAGGAACACCUGCGGCGAAGGCGGGUUGCUGGGCUGAUACUGACGCUGAGGAGCGAAAGCGUGGGGAGCGAACAGG